rnacentral:rRNA from 1 species
CGCGUAGGUAACCUGCCUGGUAGCGGGGGAUAACUAUUGGAAACGAUAGCUAAUACCGCAUAACAGUAGAUGUUGCAUGACAUUUGCUUAAAAGGUGCAAUUGCAUCACUACCAGAUGGACCUGCGUUGUAUUAGCUAGUUGGUGGGGUAACGGCUCACCAAGGCGACGAUACAUAGCCGACCUGAGAGGGUGAUCGGCCACACUGGGACUGAGACACGGCCCAGACUCCUACGGGAGGCAGCAUG